GAAUUUGUAAUUACAUUAAGUGGCAAGGUCAUAAGUGAGACUUUAAACUAACGGUAAGAAUUUGAAUGAAUUCAACAUAUAACGAAGAAUAAACUUGAAAUAUUUCGUAUGGUACAAACUUUUGCUUAACUCCUUUUGCUAUUUUAUUUUAUACUAUAUUUGAAAACAAAAAUUCCACUAAAAUUUAAGUUUACAACUUAUUAUGUUCCAGGAAAAAAUAAUUUAUGGUUGGUUGGUUAUGGAAUUUCUUAGGGGUAAUAACAAAAGAUCGAUCCUAAGAGAAAUUUUCUAGCCGUUGGCAGCUUUUCCCCACUAUGCUGGAUAGUUUUGCUUGCUUACCUAACUAUUUACCCUACUACUCCAUUAUAAUUAUAGUACUACAAUAAAAUACUAUACUUUUUUUUAAUUAUUAUAGUGAUAAUAUAUAAUUACCCGUUGAGUUUGUACCACUUGCACCCCAAAUUUUGCGGAUUCCUGUGACCCCUGUAAUUAUUUGAAGUGAAAUAAGUGGCACCUACAAUAUUUUGUACGUAGCGUGUGUGAAAAUAAUCUGUCUAAUUCUGACAACUUUUUUAUUUUUACUUUUUCCUCGAUUGCCUUUAUCUUUUUCUUUUCAUUUUCUCUCUUUGCUAAUAAUCACCAAUUAAGAUAUUGUGAGUUCGAGUCACCCCAAAAAUAAGGUGAAGAGUUCGAGUCACCCCAAAAAUAAAGUGGAGAGUUUUUGGAGGGGGAAACCGAGAAUCUAUCGGGAACAGACUCUCUACCCAGGAUAUGGGUAAGGUAUACAUACACACUACCCUCCCCGGACCCAUUAAUGAAAUUAUAUUAGGUUGUUGUUGUUGUUGUCGUCGUCUCUUUCUUUUUUGCUGGUCUCUUCUUCUUCGUUUAAACCAGUUGAUAUCUCCUCCACCUCCACGUAAUUCCACCCACCUCUGUUUUCAGCAAACUUUUCUAUGUUUUUCUUUAAAAACAAAUUAAAACACAAAAAUAAUAAUUUCUUAAUCUCAAAUUUCACAUGAGAAUAACCAUUAUCAUCAGUAGAUCACAAAAUCGAAGCUGGUAUAUUUAUAAUUUUUUCGGCAAUACAGAAGGAUAUGGAGGUGUGGGUUUUGGUGGUUCUCUAUUCUCACAUAAGUUCAAAGAUUCUAUCUUAAAGCAAUGCAUAUACACUUGCCGGAGCAAAACACAUUUCAAGAGCUUUAUUUUCUCGAGCAAAAAUGAUUUGGUUUGGUGGCAGUUUGCGAUAGCAAUUUUGAUUGGCAGUGGUGAAUUUGAUUUUCCGGUAGACAUGGGCGGUGGUGACAGUGGCUAUGACGGAGCCAGUUGUGUUGGAAAAGAAGAUAACAAAAAAGAAAAGAAAGAAAAGGAAAAAAGAUAAAAUGAAAAUUAUAAAUAACAAAGAAAAAUCAGUAUAAGAAAAGAAAUUACGUGGCAAAAUAUGAUUGAUGCGUGUUGUCCACUAAUUCUUUUGAAACUAGUACUAGUCACAGAAGGAGAACCUUAUUUCACUUCAGCAAUUACAAGGGGUCAGUUUGAGGGUGCAAGUACAACCAUUAUGUAUUAUCUCUUAUUAUACUACUAUAAAUUUCUGGAAUGCUUAUUUCUUAGUGAAGCAUAUUCACGGGAUUUUGCUACCAGAUUUUAUUGGGUUAUUUUUUAAGGCUUAUUCACGUGAAGCAUUUUUUUGAAUUAAAAAAAAAAAA